UACGGGGGGGGCAAGCGUUGUUCGGAAUUACUGGGCGUAAAGGGCUCGUAGGCGGCCAACUAAGUCGGAUGUGAAAUCCCCAGGCUUAACCUGGGAACUGCAUCCGAUACUGGAUGGCUUGAAUCCGGGAGAGGGAUGCGGAAUUCCAGGUGUAGCGGUGAAAUGCGUAGAUAUCUGGAGGAACACCGGUGGCGAAGGCGGCAUCCUGGACCGGGCAUUGACGCCUGAUGAGCGAAAGCCAGGGGAGCAAACGGG
rnacentral:rRNA from 1 species